CCAAGGUUUAGUCAGAAUGCUGUUCUCAGGAGGAGUCUGGGUUGUGACUGCCUCUCCUCAGCAAGGAGGGUAGAAAGCAGUCUUCAGCCUGAGACCCAUCCCUAGGAAUCAAACUUGAAUUAUGGAGCCAAUGAAAGACUCUUGAAAACUGGCCUCAUACCAUGUCUACACAGUCCCUGUACAGGAGUCCUGACCUGGGGUAAGUAACAAAUGUCACUUUCCCAUAGGACCAGGAGCCCCAAGUUUAUCUUGGAACCUCAAGAGAAGAUGAAUUUAUGCAUAUCAUAGGUAUUUGGUGGUACAAAUCCAUGGCUAGGCUCAUGGAAUAACUCUGUAAAAAAAGUUAUUCUUGUUGCACUGUAUGCAAA